UCCGUCGGUAUGGUCGCCAUACCUUCAGAUUCACAUAUAUAAAGACAUCAACCGAGGUCAGAUAACCAGUUGAUUGCGGCGUGAAGUAAACAUGACGUGCCCAAAACACCAAGUCUGUGUCUUCUUGCUGGUCCUCGCGAACCUCGUAAUGUUCGCAUCCGCUGAAGCCACUGAAGGAACAUGCUUGCAGGAAACGUGCAGCCCUGGUGACGACUGUGGAGAAAACUGCAUUUGCGGCGGGCGUACUGGCCAACAACUGUACUGCGUCUACUUCGAUCCAAACGAAUAUACAGACUACGGCUUAAAUGAAACUGACCUAGACCAGUAUACUCCAAGGCCAAAAGAUUCCCAUUAAUGAGAGAGCAUAAACGGGCUGUUUAACAAGAGAGAAAUCUCUCUUCCUUUUUUAUUUGUUCGAAUAAAUAUGCCCUUUCUAAA